AGGGCACAGUCAGCUGUUCAUUGAGAAAUAUGCUGAGAGGCCGAGUCCUGAGUUUUGUAAAGGCUGGGAAAAGGCAGCUUCUAGUGGUUCUGUCAAUAAAACAUUGAACUCUGGUGCUCUGACUGGGGCAGAACCAAGUUCAUUGGUCAGCAGUGUGUCAGGUUGGAUGCUGUGGGCGCCUGGCCUCUGAAGGUCACUCGAGGCUCACUGUACAGCUGUCGCUUGCCAGGCAGCCCGAGAGAGUUCUGGCGAGGGCUGCGGGAAGGAAAGGGGGCGGCGUCCUUCACAGGGAGGGUGCAGCUGACCUCCCUCCCCUUGUGCAGACUGGAAAAGAAUGGCCCAGAUCCUCUGGACUCCUCAGAUGAGCGGAUUCAGAGAGAAGCUUUUGAGAGCGUGCUGGCGGAGACAUUUUUCACAAAAGAGCCCUUGCGGUGCUGGUGUCCGUGGCGUGCCUGGAGCAAAGAUAGCAAUUCUUAAGGCCUGUUAUCUAUUAGUUACCCUUGCCUUGGCGGCAGACACAGCUGAGUCCUAACGCAGACUUUUCCAUAUCCCCUCUCCCGCCUCAACAGUGAUCUCUCCUCCCACUUCGAGAGUUAAUUCAGUGCUGCUUUAGCUUUACGCCCCCAUGAAAACAGGAAAACGGUUUGCAGCUUUAUCAUAACCUUGCUUAUGUCUGUUGUUGUAUGUCUCAAAUACCCUGUCCUCAGGAAGGCCCACCAACGCUGGCCGGCCUCCAAGCACCCGGGCCUCUGCUCAUGUACAGCUCCUGAACUGCCCUGCCUCUGAGUUACUGUGGAAAAUGAGCUUAUAUAUGAAGAAGUCAGCGAGUGGACAAAGCCAGGCGCAAUGGAUAGCAAAGAUGUGGAAGUCUCCUCGAUUCAAGUUACAAGAAAACCGCAGCAUGGAGUCUGCUCUCAGCUGUUGGGGAAUUACCGAUGCCUUUGACUAAGUCAAGACUGACUUUUCCAGAAUAUCACCCAAGAGAUAGAGCCGUCCCUGUCCAAGUUUGUGCGCUAGCCCUUCAUGGAGGUCAGAGAGGAAGAAACAAAGGCAGCUGUGGCCUCGGCGGUCACAGUGUCAGAACGCACAAGCCCCAUAAAGAGGUUUCACGCAGGCCACCCAUCCCUUUUCAUUCUCCAGCAGAACAGGACAGAGAGCGUUCUGUUCUGCGGAAGGUCUUCCACUCUACAAGGCAAUCCCUCCAGCUGCUUUGCUGUAUUGUGCUGUCUCCUGUCACACUAUGAAUGCAGUGACCUCAGCCAGCAACAGGGAGAACCCCCCUGCCUCCCGAACAAAGGACCUCACGUGAAAUCCUGAGCUCAGAGCUUACAGAUAUGUGUGCGCUUUCACUUUACAUCGGCCGUGACUUCCAAACAACUUCAGGAAACUUUAGGAUCUCUGAGGUAUACUGGAGAUGACAGCAGCGUAGAAUGUUCAUUUGGAUUUAGAACAGAAAUGCUUAUUUUAUAUUUGGCUGCUCCCAAACUGUCCCCAGACUUCCUCUCCAGUGGUUACCCUCCACUGCCCUGGAUGUCCCACGUUUACACUCCACACUCACACCUCCACCUUAACAAAGUCCUCCACUGGGUCAAACCAUACAUCGCUUCGUCUCUGUAGUGAUGACUUCCUGUCCUCUGCUCUGUGGAUAAAGACCCCAGAUAAAGAUGCCUGUGUUGCUCAACUCUUGUAAAUACUCUUGAGACAUUUUGAAAGCAGAAGGAAAGGAGACAGACGGGGAAAAUAAAAGGGAUGGUCUGCUUGUGCGGAAACGUUUUGAGAAUGCCCUUCCCUAAGAGAGAACAGUAAAAGUGAGCAAUACUUCCUGAGCUGUGGGUUCAUAUGGCUGGACUGUGCUGUUUCUCACGGGAGAAGUUCUCGUCUCCCCUGCGUGUACAUCCCUGUUUGCCAGCCUGGCCUUCGGUGUGGUGAUAUCAUGGUGCACUCCCAGGAGGGAAGUGCUUGGUCAAGACUUCUGCUUGGGUUCGACUAUCAGUUCUGGUUUCCUUUAAGGCACAGGAUCUUCCCUUUAAGGCACAAACACCCCCUUGACACAAAGUAAGGGACAAGGGAACUUUAAACCAUUUGGAAACCCAAGCACAAUAGGCUGUAGGUUGUAAAAAGAAAUUACAAAGGUAAUUUUAUCCAGAAGAGGGAGCAGUUUAACUUCUGCAGGGUAAGAUUCAGAUUCACUUUUGUAACUGAACAGGGAAUUUUCUAAAUAUUUUGAAAAUGCCGAAACAUUUCCUGUUGGCAUUUCACAGAAACGUUCAAAGUUCCCUAAUGAUAGUUUCCGCUGUGCUCACUCCGGAGGCUGCUAAGCAACCUCAGUAAUUAGCUCGAUUGAGGAAACGAAACUGUGGGGGACUCAGUUUCCAUGAUAGGGAAACCAGGCAAGAAAUAUUGUCUCCUCAAGUUGCGACGAGACAGUAGUUCUUGCCUGGUUUCUCUAUCAUGGAGUCUUGGUUGGACUCUGCUAUGCGUCUCUUGAUGAAAUGUGAUACUAGCAAUUGAACAAUUAAGAAAAUGGAUGGCGGGGGGUGGAGCGGUUUGUCACUACUGGAGUUGCAGAGGCUCAGUGGGGGAACCUGAGAAACACUGCGUCCCCCAGGUCAUCACCGCGUCAGCACUGAUGAGUCAUGUUGAUGGCAUGGACCCUGAAUAUGACACAAUGAGAUGUCACUUUACCUCUGUGGCCUUUCCCAGAAAAAACCAUAACCCCAGUCUAACCAUGAGAAAAAUAUAAGACAAUGGUGCAGGCAGGGCAUUUCAGGAGAGGGUCAGGUAAAGGGGAGGGGGUCCCAGGAGAGGGGGGGUCAGGGAAAGGCGAGGGGGUCCCAGGACAGGGUCAGGGGAGGGGACUUCAGGAGAGGGACAGGGAGGGGGGAGGGGGGCUCCAGGAGAGGGUCAGGGAUAGGGGAGGGGGGUCCCAGGAGAGGAUCAGGGGAAGGGGUGGGGCUUCAGGAGAGGGUCUGAGAACACACAGGCAGGCAACACCUUAAAAUCCCAUCUCAGUCAGCAAUGACUCCUCAUAGGGCCACCACGAGCUUAAAUGUCACUUAAAUGUCCCUAUUUGCCAGCCUGGACUUCGGUGUGGUGAUAUCAUGGUGCAUUCCCAGGAGGGAAGUGCUUGGUCAAGACUUCUGCUUGGGUUCGACUGUCGGUUCUGGUUUCACAUGCACUGUGUGAACACGCUUCAUACAGAGGGUCAGCACCGCACUGUGUGAACAUGCUUCAUGCAGAGAGCCUGUACUGCACCAGGUGAACACACUUCAUACAGAGAGUCAGCACCGCACCGUGUGAACAUGCUUCAUACAGAGAGUCAGCACCGCACUGUGUGAACACGCUUCAUACAGAGAGUCAGCACCGCACCGUGUGAACACACUUCAUACAGAGAGUCAGUACUGCACCGUGUGAACAUGCUUCAUACAGAAGAUCAGCACCUCACUGUGUGAACACACUUCAUACAGAAGGUCAGCAAUGCACCGUGUGAACACACUUCAUACAGAGAGUCAGCACUGCACUGUGUGAACAUGCUUCAUACAGAAGAUCAGCACCUCACUGCGUGAACAUGUGUUAUACAGAGAGUCAGCACCGCACCGCGUGAACAUCCUUCAUACAGGUCAGCACUGCACCAUGUGAACACACUUCAAACAGAGAGUCAGUACUGCACCAUGUGAACAUGCUUCAUACAGAAGAUCAGCACCUCACUCUGUGAACAUGUGUCAUACAGAAGGUCAGCACUGCACUGUGUGAACACGCUUCAUACAGAAGGUCAGCACCGCAUUGUGUGAACAUGUGUCAUACAGAGAGUCAGCACCGCACCGUGUGAACACGCUUCAUACAGAGGGUCAGCACCGCAUUGUGUGAACAUGCUUCAUACAUGAGGUCAGCACCUCAUUGUGUGAACACACUUCAUACAGAGUCAGCACUGCACUACGUGAACAUGCUUCAUACAGAGGGUCAGCACCUCACUGUGUGAACAUGUGUCAUACAGAGAGUCAGCACUGCACCGUGUGAACAUGCUUCAUACAGAGGGUCGGGUCAGCACCGCACUGUGUGAACAUGCUUCAUGCAGAGAGUCUGUCCUGCACCAGGUGAACACGCUUCAUACAGAGAGUCAGCACCGCACCGUGUGAACACGCUUCAUACAGAGGGUCAGCACCGCACUGUGUGAACACACUUCACACAGAGGGUCUGUACCACAUUCCGUCAACAUGUGUCAGCACCAUACCAUGUGAACACGCUUGGUACAGUGAUAUACAUGCAUGUGGCAGAGCUGUGAAAUUAUGACCUGCUGCAGACAGACUUUGUACACUGUGCUAUCAGCCAACUGGGCAAAUGUGGACAAGAGUCCCUGCAUGUCUCUAUUCACCAGGUGUCUGUCAAAUGAAAUGGGCUGAACUGGAUAAUGGCAGGUCUGACCCAUGAUUACUGCCUGUAAGAGCUGAGUUAUCCCAGAGUGUAGGCGUGGGAUAUUAAAAUAUAUAUAUAUGCAAAUAUAUUUGGGCUGGGUUUGGUGGGUCAUGCCUGUAAUCCAGCACUUUGGGAGGCUCAGGCAGGCGGAUAACCUGAGGCCAGGAAUUCAAGACCAGCCUGGCCAACAUGGUGAAACCCCGUCUCUACAAAAAAAUACAAAAAAUUGGCCAGGCACGGUGGCUCACGCCUAUAAUCCCAACACUUUGGGAGGCCGAGGUGGGCAGAUCACCUGAGGUCAGGAGUUUGAGACCAGGCUGGCCAACAUAUAGUGAAACCCCAACUCUACUAAAAAAAUACAAAAAUUAACUGGGAGUGGUGGCAAACGUCUGUGGUCCCAGCUACUUGGGAAGCUGAGGCAGGAGAAUCGCUCAAACCCGGGAGGUGGAGGUUGCAGUGAGCCGAGAUACCGCCACUCCACUCCAGCCUGGGUGACAGAUCAAGACUCCAUCUCUCAAAAAAACAAGAACAAAAACAAAAAACAACAACUUAGCCGGACGUGGUGGUGGGUGCCUGUAAUCUCAGCUACUCAGGAGGCUGAGGCACAAGAAUCCCUUGAACCUGGGAGGUGGAGGUUGCAGUGAGCAGAGAUCUCACCAUUGCACUCCAGCCUGGGCAACAAGAGCGAAACUCCAUCUCAAAAAAUAAAUAAAUAAAUAAAUAAUAAAUAAAAAUAAAAAUAUAUUUGGUCUUAGUCCUUGGUUCCUGGCACAGAGCUUCAAAAAUUCCUGGAAUUUCCUGAGUGAUAAGGAUGUCUGUUUAUUUGUAAAGCGCUCCUUCUGACCAUGCCUGAGCUUAUGCCAGUGAGGUGCCUCAAAGUGGGCCUUUAGAGAGCUUCA
rnacentral:lncRNA from 1 species